UACGAAGGGGGCUAGCGUUGUUCGGAUUUACUGGGCGUAAAGCGCACGUAGGCGGACUGUCAAGUCAGGGGUGAAAUCCCGGGGCUCAACCUCGGAACUGCCUUUGAUACUGUCAGUCUAGAGUCCGGAAGAGGUGGGUGGAAUUCCUAGUGUAGAGGUGAAAUUCGCAGAUAUUAGGAAGAACACCGGUGGCGAAGGCGGCCCACUGGUCCGGAACUGACGCUGAGGUGCGAAAGCGUGGGGAGCAAACAGG
rnacentral:rRNA from 1 species